rnacentral:tRNA from 1 species
GGGGGCGUGGCCUAGUGGGAAAGCAUCUGCCUGGCAUACAGAAAGUUCCAGGUUCAGUCCCCGGUAUCUCCA